rnacentral:rRNA from 1 species
CCAGACUCCUACGGGAGGCAGCAGUGGGGAAUAUUGCACAAUGGGCGAAAGCCUGAUGCAGCAACGCCGCGUGAAGGAAGAAGGGUUUCGGCUCGUAAACUUCUAUCAACAGGGACGAAAGAAAUGACGGUACCUGAAUAAGAAGCCCCGGCUAACUACGUGCCAGCAGCCGCGGGAAUACGUAGGGGGCAAGCGUUAUCCGGAUUUACUGGGUGUAAAGGGAGCGUAGACGGCAGUGCGAGUCCGGAGUGAAAGCCCGGGGCUCAACCCUGGGACUGCUCUGGAAACUGUAAAGCUGGAGUGCGGGAGGGGCAGGCGGAAUUCCUGGUGUAGCGGUGAAAUGCGUAGAUAUCAGGAGGAACACCGGCGGCGAAGGCGGCCUGCUGGACCGUAACUGACGUUGAGGCUCGAAAGCGUGGGGAGCAAACAGGAUUAGAUACCCCAGUACAC